UACGUAGGGUCCGAGCGUUGUCCGGAAUUAUUGGGCGUAAAGGGCUCGUAGGCGGUUUGUCGCGUCGGGAGUGAAAACACGGGGCUUAACCCCGUGCCUGCUUCCGAUACGGGCAGACUAGAGGUAUGCAGGGGAGAACGGAAUUCCUGGUGUAGCGGUGAAAUGCGCAGAUAUCAGGAGGAACACCGGUGGCGAAGGCGGUUCUCUGGGCAGUAACUGACGCUGAGGAGCGAAAGCGUGGGGAGCGAACAGG
rnacentral:rRNA from 1 species